rnacentral:rRNA from 1 species
AUUGAACGCUGGCGGCAGGCCUAACACAUGCAAGUCGAACGGUAACAGGAAGCAGCUUGCUGCUUCGCUGACGAGUGGCGGACGGGUGAGUAAUGUCUGGGAAACUGCCUGAUGGAGGGGGAUAACUACUGGAAACGGUAGCUAAUACCGCAUAACGUCGCAAGACCAAAGAGGGGGACCUUAGGGCCUCUUGCCAUCGGAUGUGCCCAGAUGGGAUUAGCUAGUAGGUGGGGUAACGGCUCACCUAGGCGACGAUCCCUAGCUGGUCUGAGAGGAUGACCAGCCACACUGGAACUGAGACACGGUCCAGACUCCUACGGGAGGCAGCAGUGGGGAAUAUUGCACAAUGGGCGCAAGCCUGAUGCAGCCAUGCCGCGUGUAUGAAGAAGGCCUUCGGGUUGUAAAGUACUUUCAGCGGGGAGGAAGGGAGUAAAGUUAAUACCUUUGCUCAUGGACGUUACCCGCAGAAGAAGCACCGGCUAACUCCGG